rnacentral:rRNA from 1 species
GCAUGUGGUUUAAUUCGAAGCAACGCGAAGAACCUUACCUAAGCUUGACAUCCCAAUGACAUCUCCUUAAUCGGGGAGUUCCCUUCGGGGACAUUGGUGACAGGUGGUGCAUGGUUGUCGGCAGCUCGUGUCGUGAGAUGUUGGGUUAAGUCCCGCAACGAGCGCAACCCUUGUCUUUAGUUGCCAUCAUUAAGUUGGGCAC